GCUGGGCUGAGAAGGAGAUAGAGGCCUGUAACUUAUGGAGCAGAUCUCCUCCGAGGAGAGGAAAAGGACACUCUGGAACCACAAGAAAUGACUGUCUCACUCUUUUCUGUCCCAAGCUCACUUCUCGUGAGUGUGUGACAGGAUAUUCCUGAAUAGCUCCAGUAGACCUUUGUACAGCCACUCUUUUAUUAGAGACACUGCCCAAGGGGGUCUGUAGUACCGAGUGCUCCGCCCCGGUAGCUACUAGGAAGCGUACAGGCUGGCCCCUCACUGUAGCGGUCACCGUGGGCUCCUGGGGGCCAAGAGAGAGGGAGUCCUGGCUCCAUCAGUCAUCAGACUCUUCCGUUGCGGGGAGGGUGAGGGCCUUUUUCUUUUCUGAUUUUUCCUCUGGCCGUAGUGGGCAUUCCUUUUUCCAGUGCCCAGUCUGCUUGCAAUAAGCACAUUUGUCCUUUUCUAGGGGAGCCUGUUCUCCUCUUUUGCCCUUCUGGUAGGGACCUGAGGUUCCCUGGCUAUUCCUCUGUGAUGGGGGCCUUCCCUUCUUGACCUCUCCGAUGGCCGCAGCUAAGAUUUUUGCUUGUCUUUUGUAUGCUUUAUCAGCUGCUGCCUGUGCUGUUUGUUUUCUUUUUUCAAACUCUCGAUUGUCAAAAACUUUUUGGGCUAUCUCUAAAAGCUGAGUGAUAUUCAUCCCAGGAAAUCCCUCCAGUUUUUGGAGUUUUCUUUUAAUAUCAGGGGCUGCCUGAGCCACAAAUGCCAAAUUAAGAGCACGGCUAUUUUCGGGAGCCGCCGGGUCAAAAGAGGUGUAAGUCCGAUAGGCCUCCUGGAGGCGUUCUAAAAACGCUCCCGGUGACUCAUCAGGCCCUGUGCGACUUCAGUCAUCUUAGACAAGUUUAUGGGUUUCUGAGCAGCUCCUUUGAUACCUGCAAGGAGAUACCGGUGAAAAUCGUCCAAAGCUUUCUUCCUACCCGAGGAAUUCGUGUGCCAGUUAGGCCGGGUAGAGGGAAAGACCUCCUCAAGAAAGUCUCUAGCUUCCUCCUCUGGCCUAUUGGCUGAUGUGAGGAAAUACUUUCUGGCCUCUCUUCGGAUAUGUUCCCUCUCUUCAGAGGUAAAAAGGGUCAAAAGGAGCUGCUGACAGUCAUCCCAGGUGGGCCGAUGGGUCCGGAGCACAGACUCCAUCAGUGAGAUCAAGACCUGGGGCUUUUCAGAGAAGGGAGGAUUAUGAGCCUUCCAGUUACAGAGGUCAGAAGGAGAAAAAGGGACAUAAACCAAGAAUGGGGCUGAGCGCUCAUCACCCGGAGGGACUUGUGCUUCUUUCCGCGGUAGAGGGGGGGCUACUUCCUCCUGCCGCGGCCGCAAUCGAGAGGCAAUAGGCGGCGAGCCUACAGGGGAUGUAGUCGAGGAGACAAGGGAAGAUUCUAAGGGAGCAGGACGGUUAUAAGGCGGCGGAACUGAGUGGGGGAGACUCUCCUCUUCUUCAGAGGGAGGCAGUACAGGGUGAGCCGAACAGACUGAGGGUCCAGGCGGAAGUGCGGUCUGGCUCAAAACGACCUUGGAGGCAGAAUUAUGAAUGGCGCAUGAGCGGAGCCAUGGUGGGGAGCUUCUGACCAAACUCAGCCAUUGAUCAAUGUGGGGAAACUGAUCGGGGUGGCCGGGAGUUCCAGCAACAACCCGCCACACAGCCUGAACAAUUGCUAGGUUCAGUGACCCUACUGGGGGCCAUCCGACUCCAAACUUUGGCCAUUCUACUUCGCAGAGUGUCCGGAGUUUGCCUUUUUAAAGGCGGACCCCAUAAUCCUCUGAGAAGCCUAGAGAAAAAUUCUGCAGCAUACAUUGGAGGGGGCUCCAAUCCUUACAGGGCCGGGAAGAGGAGUUUCCCAUUUUUGGAGGCAGUUUGACAAGGUUUGAGCAGGGAUAUCAAACCCAGCACGGACAGAAAAACUCAUUCCCUAGGGGGCUGGAGUAUCGGAAGAACAGAAUUAACAUAACCAGAAGGAGCCGAAAGACAACAAUAGCUCACACUACUUGCCACAGGACGGUUAACUAGCUUUAAGAUUGAGGGAGGUCGGGCGCAGUGGCUCACGCCUGUAAUCCCAGCACUUUGGGAGGCUGAGGCGGGCGAAUCACGAGGUCAGGAGAUCGAGACCAUCCUGGCUAACACGGUGAAACCCCGUCUCUACUAAAAAUACAAAAAAUUAGCUGGGUGUGGUGACGGGUGUCUGUAGUCCCAGCUACUUGGGAGGCUGAGGCAGAAGAGUGGCCUGAACCUGGGAGGCGGAGCUUGCAGUGAGCUGAGAUCGCGCCACUGCACUCCAGCCUGGGCGACAGAGAAGACUGUCUCAAAAAAAAAAAGAAUAAUUAUCCAAGAUUGAGGGAGGAGGACUAGAGGCCAACCUUAGGUCUCCUUGGCUGGAUGGACCUAGGCGUCCUCCCUCUUUCCCUGGACCUGUAGCCUAAAUACUUUUGGUGUCUCCACGACUCAAAGGCAAAUAGCUCAAAUUCGGCCUUUUCUUUUAAGAGUUUGAGGAGUGAGAGCAGAGCCAAGUCCUGGAGACGCUGAACUUGCUGUGACACGGGAAAACGAGAUGUACGGGGUAAGUGGUAGGGAUGAGGAGGAAAAAGGGCCACUCGGAUCUUUCCUAGGGUAGGAGAGUAGCCACAGAGGAAUAGAAUAAGGGUUUAAACGAAGUAAAGUGGUACGGGCGUAGGUUUCUCUGCACAGUGCCGUAUUUAAGGGCACAGAAAAAGUUACGGGAUGACAAAAGAGGUGAGCAAGGAGGUCUGCAGGGUGGCUAUUUUGAACCUACCACCGGUUUAGUCUGGAGGUGGCCCAGUCACUUGGACAUGGGGUAUGACAAUCUAAAUGCCAGCAAUCUUCAUGGUGCCAGAAAUCCCAAACAGGCGAAUGUUCCUCACACUCGUUCCCGUUCCCGUAACAACACCUGAUUUGUUUCUGACAGAAAAGGCAGGACUGGGAUGGCCAGCCUAAGCGAUUGAUGAGAAAUUUAACCUCCUGUGAUAAAAAAUCAACACUAAAGACCUUGAAGAAGUUCCUGCCCAGACGUCUUGGGCAGUAUCGAUGACCUGACAUACGAAACUUUGACAACCACUAAACAGGACAAUAGACACCGAGCAGGACAACAAACACAAAACAAACAAUAGACCCUUGGGUAUAUAAACAAUUAUGGUAGGUUUUUAUUAGACAGACAAGGGGAGGGGGUCCCAUGAUGGGAUCAGUCAGAUGCCUGCCUGGCCGCUCCCCCUGAGGGGACUUGGGCUUCUCUUAGCAUUGGCAGGCAGGUAUAAACCCCCGGCUCGGAUGGAGCUAUGCCCGAUGCUGCCUUAAGCCUUAUGAGGUCGCCACGGAACGGCAGGUGAGGGCCCACUCGAACUCCGUAGCUUUCGCCGUGGAGCUACAAACUGGGGAUCCAGAGGCAGGCCCCUGGACUCCUCAGUCGUGCACACAUUCACAAAGAGUUUAUAACAAUUUUUGUUAUUUCCCGUUCUAAACAAAGGUCCCAGAAGACCUGAACGAGAGGAGGAGAAGAGAUAGAGCAAGGGGGAGAGAAAGAAAAAGAGGAGGAGAGAGUGAGAGACUAGUCUUAAUGGAGAGGCCGGCCUGCCAGAAACCAGGGCUCUAUCCUCCAGCGUCCUGGAGUAUGGAUAGAGUCAAAGAGAGGGACACCGUCGUCAGGGCUGCCUCCCUCUCACCAAACCAGAACCAAAAGGCGCCUAACAGAAAAACCAGGGCUCUGUCCUCCAGCGCCCUGGAAAAGCGGGCAGUGUCAAAGACAGGGAUGCCCUCGUCAGGGCUGCCUCCCUCUCACCAAACAGAAGUCAAAUCUAACUUACCUGACCCCGGGGUCAGAAGCUGAGGACUCAGAGGUUGAAUUUUGUGGGCACACACACACGGUAGUCGAUCCGCUGUCCUCCGGAAGACGGUCGCCUUUCGGGGACCUGGAAAAUUUUUUUUCAGGUGGCUCCUCGCCUAUAAGCCGGCCGUCCCUCCGGGGGAGCCCGGAGCUAGCCCGGCUCUCGCCCAGUGGCGAAUAUAUCUCGCUGGGGCUUCCAAAUGUUGUACCCGAGCGAGUUAGAGAAACGCCACACUUCGAGACGAAUUUAAGAGUCCUUCAUUAGCCGGCGACCGACAGACGACUAACGCUCGAAAUUCUCUCGGCCCCGAGGAAGGGGCUUGAUUUUCCUUUAUACUUUGGUUUAGAAAGGGGAGGGGGAGCUUAGUUGCAGCAAUUCUACAGAAGUAAAAGCAUGCAAAAAAAUUAAAAAGACAAAUGGUUACAAGGAAACAAACAGUUCCAGGUGCAGGGGCUCUAAAUCUAUCAUAAGGCGUUAGGUAUGGGGGCUCUCCCGGACACAAACUCAAAGCUUUAUGGUGUUAUCUCUUGAGCGAAAUCCUGGUAACUUCGUAAAUUGCUUGCUUCAGUACCUUAUCAGUUAAUUGGACUCUUUGAUAUGUAAGAGUCAGCUUACACAAGUUAACUGCUUGAGGAAGGGGGUGGGUAAGGAGUCUUUGACGUCUUGUAAAUGAAGGAGCCAAAAGGAGUACUUCCGGCUUUCUCAGCUAAGGAAGAGCCUAUUCAUGUGGAAACAAGGCUAGGCGAUUAAGGGAGAGUCUAAAAACAAGGUUAGGUACUACAAAGUCGCGGUAAAAUCGGUGUUAACUACGUGUGCAGCCACCUUUUCCUUAGUGCUAUUCCUGAAGGAAAUAAUGUAUACAGUGAUCUAUUUCCAAGACAAAGUGCCUUAAAUUGGCUUAGGUCAGCAAAGUACAGAAGAAACAGGGUAUACUAGGUCCCUGCUUGGAUAGCGGAUGCCUGCUUGUCGCCCCCCUCUUUCCUCCCCCUUCCCAUCCCCCAUCCUUGGUGGCCUUCACCCAAACAAAAACAGUUUAGUCUAAGAUAUAAGUUUACUAGUCUGCAAAAUAGCUCACUUUGUCUGUUCUUAUCAGCCUGCCCAGCUACUUAGGUCAUAAGUCAAACACUUAAAGAGCCCUUGAGCUAACCAGGAUUGCAAUGCAUUGUGGGCUGCAACAAAAUGCAGCAAGACAACCCUAAAAAAGAGACACCUAAAGCCUUUGCCUAACAAUCAGUAGGCAAACGCCGAGAAAAUUGUAACCCCAUAGCACUCAGCCUAUGAGGAACCUGGGGAGGGACUUGCGCACUAGGGGACAAAUUGCUUGUUGAAACUGUUCUGGGUGUGCCUGCACGCCAGACACCCGAUCUUGAUCUCUCAAGACCGUCAUUAAAAGUCUCACUUUCGCUGUUCUCCGGGUCUCUGAGUCCAUUCUUUGGGUUUAGAUGGAUGAGUUUAUUUUCUCACAUAACAGCUGCAGAGGUGGUACAGGUGAAUCCCUCUCAAGUCAAGUGGGUUAACCUCAAAAUUGACUUAAGGGGUGGUUUGUGAUCGCCUGGUAGAUGGUGGACGGUUACAGCUUUUAGAAAGUGAGUAAAAGAGAUGAUGCAUACAGAAGCCCCACUGGGUUGCUUAGCUUCUGCACAUGGAGAAAGAGGCUGCUUUUCUGCCUUCUAGGUGUUUAGUAACUUAAUUUUUAAUCCUUUGAUGAAAUAGAGUGGAAAAUAAAAGGAGAUUUUCUUUUAACAAAAUAGUGUUAAGAUGCUUGCCAAGUAUCCCCCUGUGAAUUUCUGCUUAGCACUGUGAUAUCAGAAUUAGAAAUUGUGCAGGGUUCUAAUCUGGAGAUAUGGGAUGUUCAGUAGCUAAGAAGGAAGUUAUUCCUUGAAAGUAAGUACAGUGAGGUAGAAAAGGAUCCAUUGGGAUUGGGAGAAUAAAAGUUCAUUAUUUUUAUUUAUUAAAAAAAACAAAACAAAACAAAGAAAUGAGGUUUUGGCUGGGUGCAGUGGCUCACGCCUGUAAUCCCGGCACUUUGGGAGGCCAAGGUGGGCAGAUCACGAGGUCAGGAGAUUGAGACCAGCUUGGCCAACAUGGUGAAACCCCAUCUCUACUAAAAAUACAAAAAAUUAGCCAGGCGAGGUGGCAAGUGCCUGUAUUUCCAGCUAUUCAGGAGGCUGAGGCAGGAGAAUUGCUUGAACCCAGAAGGCGGAGCUUGCAGUGAGCCAAGAUCGCUCCACUGCAGUCCAGCCUGGGCAACAGAGUGAGACUUCAUCUCAAAAAAAAAAAAAAAAAAAAAAAAAAAAAAAAAAAAAAAAGAAAGAAAGAAAAAAGAAAAAAAAAAGAAGAAACGAGCUUCUACCCUAGAUGGAUCUUGGACUCUGGAGUUCAGAGAGCUUGCCAUUUCAGACCAGAAACUUCCUUAAAGAACCAAGAGAAGUAAUUUUCUCCCUGCUAAAUUUCAGCUGAGGUGAUUGAGAUCUUUUCCUCAUUUGUCAUUAUAUUUGUCAUUUGUCCUUAUGUUUGUAGUUAAAUAGCUUGGAUUAAGUUUCAGAAUUUGUCGGUCUCUAAUGGAAAAAGUGACCACCAGCACAUCACCAGCAAUCAUCAGCCACUUGUAGUGGAAUCUUUUAGUGAAAGCUUGCAGGACUUUUGCAACCUGGGUGAGGAAGCAGUUAGAAGAAAGUAAGAAACGCAAAAGAACUUGAGCCUUAACCUUCUGAUCUGAAAUCAGACUUAGGUCACAGAAUUCAAUGGUUUCUGACUAUUUUAUUUAAACUGGAAAUCGGCGGGAUGGCAAGGAAUACUACUUGCUUCUAUAGUGUGUGAUCCACAUUAGUGAUUUGUGGAACUAAUUAGGACAGGGGGAUAAUUCUAAGCAACAAAGAACUGUAAGUGAAUGAACACGAAUUAUCUCCCUGUAUGAGAGAGAAAUGCAGAGGCCAACACAAUUCCCUUGAAUAGGUGGGGAAUAUCAUGGAGAACUUCCUAAGGUGGCUCAUAGGAAAAAAAAGAGUGGAAAUACUGGAAGUUGAACGCAGGACCUCACGCAUGCUAACCACGUGCUCUGUCCCUGAGCUAUACCCCCGCAGGAGAUCAGGAGCUUGGGAAAAUGUUUUGGUGAUCUCCGUUGCCUGAGUCUGUGCUCUGUGUCAUCAAGACAAUCACUGUAUGUUUCCAAUUCCACUGUUUAUGAAUUCCCGACACUAAGCGCCCUCUCUCUCUCUCUCUCUCUCUCUCUCUCUCUCUCUCUCUCUCUCUCUCUCUCUCUCGGGCAUGGCUACACCAGGAGAAAGAUAUCUUGUGGUAAAAACAAAGGCAUUGUUCCUGAUGUUCCUGAUUUGUGGUCAGUCCAAGAUCAACUCACCCCAAAGUGGUCUCCCCAUCAUAUUAGACUUUCUGGAGCAUAAUUCCAUUCUAUCCCUUGAGUGACCUCCGGCAUACAACAUUCUCUUGCAAAUUUUCUGAUUAUAACUUUUUUCUUUUGACUCUGGGAAGCAUCUUAGUGUUUCCCAUAGUCAAAAAAUAAAACUCAGGUAUGUGUGAAAAUACCCUAAAAUUCAGUACAAAUAGAGGCAAAUUAACUGCAUUUCAAAAGAAUAACAUAACCACAUUGAAGAGGAAAGAACUGAUAUAAGAAAAUGGUUUACACAGAUUGUUGUUCUAAUUGUGAGAUCAAAAAGAACAUCGAACAAAUCUUAAACUCUAUGUAUCAGGAUUAUUUUUUGUAGAGUGAGGGCUGUAGCAAUUCUGAUAUUUUGUGUGAAUUUUAGGAUUGGGAAAUCGAGUGUCUGUUGUUGGAAACAGACUCUCACUGUGGGAGAAGAAGGAAGGUAAAGAAUAGUCCUGUUGAUACUGAUGGGAAUUAGAGGCAUCAGUAUGAAAUUGUACAUAUGAAAUUGUAAAAUUUCCCCACAGAUCUAUCUGCUAACUGGGCCUAGAAGAAAUGAUACCUCAGAAGCAAUGAGCAAAGAUAACUCUGUAUCUUGAUUUUCAAAUACCAUUCCCUACUAAAAGGAACCAGAGAUACUAAUAGAAAGUAGCUAUUAGUGUCAACUACACAGACUCCAGGACUGUGCCAGGGAAACUGCAAAAUGAACCUAAGAUAUCUUGCCUUGCCAGAAUGUAAGUGCUCAGAAAUGACGGGGGUGAUUUAAAAGGACACAGAAGCCAGCUUGAAGGGAAUCUCACUGGCCAAAUCUGACACACUUUUAGCAUCAGUGAUGACAAUAACUGAUUAUCAUUCUUGGGAACUUAAACAAAUAAAUAUGGAGGACGGGACGAUUUUCCUUACAGUGGUUUGCCAAAUGAUAAAUGUGAAAGUGAGUGCCGGGCGCAGUGGCUCACGCCUUUAAUCCCAGCACUUUGGGAGGCUGAGGCGG
rnacentral:lncRNA from 1 species